rnacentral:lncRNA from 1 species
UGGUCAUAUGAGGGCCUUGGGCACCAUCGGCUACUAGAUGCUUGGAUGUGCGGGAGCCUAGAACACCAUCGGUAAACUAGGCCCUUGAUCGUGCGGGACCCUCGAGCACCUUCGACAACCUAGGCCCUUUUUCGUGCGAGAUCCUCGGGCACUAACGGCACUUGGGCGCUCGGAUGUGCAAAAGCCUAGGACACCAUCGGCAAACUAGGCCCUUGGUCUUGCAGGAGCCUCGGGCACCAUCCGCUACCUAGGCCCUUGGUCGUGUGAAAGCCUCGGGCACCAUCGGCACCUGGGAGCUCAGAUGUGUGGGAGCCUCAGACACCAUCGAAAAACUAGGCCCUUGGUUAUGCGGGAGCCUGAAACACCAUUGGCACCUCGGUGCUAUGAUGUGCAGGAGCCUCAGACACUGUCGGUAACCUAAGCCCUUGGUUGCGUGGGAGCCUCGGAAACCAUCGGCAAACUAGGCCCUUGGUCGUGUGGGAGCCUCGAACACCAUCGGCACCUCGGUGCUAUGAUGUGCAGGAGCCUCGUACACUAUUAGCAACCUAGGCCCUUGGUCGUGCGGGAGCGUCAAGCACCAUCGACACCUUGGUGCUUGGAUGUGCGGGAACCUCAGACACCAUCGGCAACAUAGGCCCUUGGUCGUGCGAGAGCCUCGGGCACCAUCGGCACCUUGGUGCUAUGAUGUGAGAGAGCCUCGGACACUGUCGGCAACCUAGGGCAUUGGUCAUACGGGAGCCUCAGACACCAUCGGCAAACUAGGACUUUGGUCGUGCGAGACCCUCGGGCACCAUCGGUAACCUAGGCCCUUGGUCGUGCGAGAGCCUCGGGCACCGUCGGCACCUGGGUGCUCGGAUGUCCGGGAUCCUUAGACACCAUCGGCAAUCUAGGCCCUUGGUCUUGCGGGAGCCUCGGGCACCAUCGGCUACUUAGGCCCUUGGUCGUGUGAAAGCCUCGGGCACCAUCGGCACCUGGGCGCUCAGAUGUGCGGGAGCCUCGGACACCAUCGACAAACUAGGCCCUUGGUCGUACGGGAGCCUCGGGUACCAUUGGAACCUCGGUGUUAUGAUGUGCGAGAACAUCAGACACUGUCUGAAACCUAGGCCCUUGGUCGUGUGGGAGCCUCAGACACCAUUGGCAAACUAGGCCCUUGGUUGUGCGAGAGCCUCGGACACCAUCGACACCUCGGUGCUAUAAUGUGCGGAAGCCUCAGACACUGUAGGCAACCUAGGCCCUUGGUCGUGCGGGAGCGUCGAGCACCAUCGACACUUAUGUACUUGGAUGUGCAGGAACCCCGGACACCAUCAACAACAUAGGCCCUUGGUCGUGCGAGAGCCUCAGGCACCAUCGGUGCCUUGAUGCUAUGAUGUACGAGAGCCUUGGAGACUGUUGGCAACCUAGGCCCUACGUCGUACGGGAGCCUCGGACACCAUCAGCAAACUAGGCUUUUGGUCGUCUGGGAGCUUCAGGCACCAUCGGCACCUGGGCGGUCGGAUGUCCGGGAGCCCCGAACAUCAGCGGCAAACUAAACCCUUGGUCAUGAAGGAGCCUCAGCACCAUCGGUAACUAGGCCCCUGGUCAUGCAGGAGCCUUGGGCACCGUCGGCAAAAUAGCCCUUUGUGGUGCGAGUACCUCGGGUAUCAUCGGCACCUAGGUGCUUGGAUGUGCGGGAGCCUCAAACACCAUCGGCAAACUAGGCCCUUGGUCAUGAGGGAGCCUCGGGCACUAUCGGCAACCUAGGUUCUCAGAUGUGCUGGAGCCUCGGACACCAUCGGUAAACUAGGCACUUGGUCUUGGAGGAGCCUCUGGCACUAUCGGCUACUAGGCCCUUGGUCGUAUAAAAGCAUCAGGUACCAUCGACACCUGGGCGCUCGGAUGUCCGGGAGCCUCGGGUACCAUCGGCACCUCGGUGCUAUGAUGUGCGGGAGCCUUGAGCACCACCGACACCUUGGUGUUGGAUGUGCGGGAACCUCUGACAGCAUAGGCAACCUAGGCCCUUGGUCGUGCGAGAGCCUCGGGCACCAUCGCCACCUAGGUGUUCGGAUGUACGGGAGCCUCGGACACAAUCGGCAAACUAAACCCUUGGUCGUGCGGGAUCCUCAGGCACCACCGGUAAAACCGUUUGAGAAAGGAAAAGACUUUGACUCGUACAAGUUUUGAAGGUCGCCUUUCUGGCUUAGGAUCUAUAACAUCUCCUUAGAACUGUUAGAUCGCCAGAUGGUUUUGGAUGUUGGAAAUGCCUUGGGCGAACUGGUGGCGAUCGAUUGGAAGGACCGCAAUGGAGGGUGGACUGAAUUUGUCAGGAUCAAUGUUAAGAUAAAUGUUUUAAAACCUCUAAGAAGAGUGGUGAAAUUGCUGGACAGAGAAGGGACGGAAGUGAUAGGGGUGAUAAAGUACGAAAGGCUUUCGAACUUCUGCUAUGUUUUCGGGUUGAUACGACAUUCGAGCAAGACAUGUAAGCAUAACAAGGAAGUUUAGGAACUGAAUGAGUCAAACCUACAGUAUGGUAGUUGGAUGAAGGCUUCACUAGUUAAUCCAAUCCAAGAUAGAAAUAGAUGAAGAAAUGGGCUGGAACUAAUGAAAUCAAAGGAUCAAAUGAAUGCUGAUAAAGAGGAGAGCCAGUCGAACUCGAGAGGGGAGAGUGAGUAGAUAAGACAGAAAGAAAAGGAAAGGCUUGGGGAAGAGGAGUCAAUGACUACCUCCUCUGUGGAAAAAAGGAGCCAUAAAGCUAUGAGGGAUGCAUUGAGACGUUUUAAUAGUAAAUGAAAGAGGCACAGGGGCUUGGGGGAGAAAAUGGGGAGGAAAGCCCGACAAAAUUGGUUAAAAAGAGGCUGUUAGAAAACAUUUCACCUUUCAAGGUGGUGGCUGGUGACCAGCCCCGCCAAGAGCAAUAAAAAUCUUUAGUUGGAACUGUUGGGGGUUGGAAACCUCGCGACAGUUCGUGAGUUAAAGUAACUUCUCGUUGUGAAUGCUCCUGAUAUUGUAUUCUUGUAUGAAACAAAAAUCCACUCUAACAAGUUUUCUCGCAUUCGGGCCAUGUGCAGGAUGGAGGGGUGCUUAGCUGUGAGCUCGGAAAGAAAGAGUGGGGGAAUGGUGCUGAUGUAGAGGGAAGGCGUGAGAGUCACAAUCCAGAAUUACUCAAGAUAUCACAUUGUUUCGGUGGUUUGGAUGGAGGAUAGGGAGAAAUUUAGGUUCACUGGCUUUUAUGGGUAAUCGGAGCCAAGCUUAAAACACCAGGCGUGGGAUAUGAUGAGAAGAGUUAAGAGCACGGUCAAUGAAGGAUGGAUUAUGGGAGGUGAUUUUAACGCCAUCUUGAAUGACUUAGAGAAGGAAGGGAGUCGUAGAAAACCUAGGGCAUUGGUGGACGAGUUUAGAGAUAUCUUGGAGGAGUUAAGCUUGACGGAUGUGAAAACGGGUAAUGGCUGGUUCACUUGGACAAAUAAUAGAGAUGGAAACAGAUUGGUCAAAGAAAGGCUGGAUAUAUUUGUUAUUUCGGAUGUUAUCAUGGAGAGAAUGUCGUUACUUGCAUCCUAUGUUGUGCACCAAUCCAAAUCCAACCAUGAGGUCAUCUUAAUGGAUCUGCAAGGAAGUAGGCUGAAAGUGAAGGGUAACGACCCGAGGGUUUGCUUUAGGUAUGACCGUUGUUGGGCCAAGGAGCGGAGGCUAGGGAUAUUAUUUCUAACAUUUGGUCCAACGAGGAGACAAAGUUGCUGGAAAAAAUGGAAGUGUUCCGGGAGAGGUUGGGACCAUGGCAAUAUCAAUGUUAUAGAAGGAUGAAGCAGAAAAUUGAAAAUUUGGAGAAGGAUAUCGUCAGACUCAUGGAUGGGCAUAUUAACGAGAGAUCUACAAACUUGCUUAAGGAAACCCGGUGCAAGCUGGGCCAGUUAUAUGAUACGGAAGAAAAGUAUUGGGUGACCAGGUCGAGAUCGCAGUGGUUAAGGGAAUGGGACAUAAAUACGCGCUACUUUCACGUGCGGACUUCGGGUCGUCGUAAGAAAAACAACAUUGAUAGGAUAAAAGAUGCGUAUGGAAAUUGGCAUGUUGACAACAAUGAGAUCUGCCAUGUUGCGUGGGAUUAUUUCAAUGAGUUGUUCAAGACAUCUAUUGACUCGGUGGAGGUGAGUGACUUGCAUGUUAUUCCCGAGUGCAUUAACAAUGACAUGAAUAGAAGGUUGAUGGGGGAGUUCUCAAAAGAGGAAAUUUUUAGGGCUUUCAAUCAGAUGGACCCCCGUAAGGCUCCUAGGACUGAUGGGCUGCUGGGGAGCUUUUACAAGGAGCAUUGGACUACGGUGGGCGAGGAUGUUCUACGGUUGUGCCAGGAUAUUCUUCAUGGCCGCAGAAGCGCUGAGUGCAUAAACGAAACGCUAAUUGUGUUGAUUCUUAAAAUAAAAAAUCCGUGUGUUAUGGCUAUCUUUCGGCCUAUUAGUCUGUGCAGGGUUAUAUACAAGAUUGUUUCAAAGGCUCCCGCUAAUAGGCUUAAAGAGGUUCUGCCACUGUGCAUUAGCCAGAAUCAGAGUGCCUUUGUCCCUAACAAAAUGAUCCAUGACAACAUCCUUGUGGCUCAUAAGCUCAUGCAUUAUCUCAGUAGCUCCAAGAAUGGUCCUAACAAGGGAUGUGUGGUCAAGCUCGAUAUGAGUAAAGCCUAUGACCGCGUGGAAUGGGGUUUCCUGCAGAUAGUGUUGAUUAAAAUGGGUUUUUCAAAUGUGUGGGUUAACAAAAUCAUGGAGUGUGUGUGCUCUAUUCAUUACAGAGUUAAAUGCAAUUCCAAUAUUUCUAAUAUCAUUUUUCCGGAAAGAAGACUUCGGUAAGGGGACCAUUUAUCCCCGUACUUAUUUUUUUCUGUAUGGAAGCCUUGUCUCGCAUGUUGCUCCAUGGUCCGGAGACAAAUAAAAUUAAGGGUAUCCAUGUUAGGAAGGAUGGCCCGAGAAUCAACCACUUAUUUUUGCUGAUGAUGCUUUAUUGUUUGUCAGGAAUAAACAGAGCGAGGUGGAGGCCUUCACUAAGAUGAUCAAGUCUUUUGAAAAAAUUUCUGGCCAAAAUAUUAACAUAGAGAAGUCGAUGAUUUAUUUCAUUCCCAGUACCUCGGGACCUCAACGCGCGAGUUUAACUAGUAUGCUUAAGAUGAAGGUGGUGAAUAACCUUGAUGCGUAUCUGGGGCUGCCCAUUCCGAUUAGCAAAAGGAAGUCUACGGCUUUUCAAGGCAUCUUAGAUCGAAUGGCCAACAGAAUAAAUAGCUGGUCAAAGAGGUUACUGUUGUACGGUGGCAAAGAGGUCUUCAUCAAGUCUAUCCUACAGUCGAGUCCUACUUAUGCUUUUUCAGUGUUCUUUGUUCCUAAGGGCAUCCUUAAGAAGACCCAAACUAUGAUAAGCCGCAUGUGGUGGGGUGGCGGGGAUAAGUCUAGAGGUUGGUAUAGUUUGUCUUGGGAUCCGGUUUGCUUCCCGAAAGGCAUGGAGGGCCUAGGUUUCAGGGACCUUAGGCGGUUCAACGUGGCUUUAUUAGGGAGACAAGUGUCGAGGCUGUCUAGCUGCAAAGAUACAUUAUGUUUCAGAGUUUUGAGUGUGAAAUAUUUCCCGGAUGGUGAUGUAUUUCGCCCCAAGAGAGUUGACAAGCCGUCUUAUAUGUGGAAGAGUAUCACCAGGGCCGCUAGUUUACUGCACGAGGGUUUAUGGUGGAAUUUGGACAACGGCAGGAGGAUAAAUAUAUGACAGGAGAACUGGGGUGUUGAAGGGCUCUCUGGUGAUUCUAUUCGUCUGAACAGAAGGGAGGUGCCCGAGACAAAGGUUUGUGAGCUUAUUGAUGAAACUAAUGAUGGCUUGAAGGAGCAGAGGGUUAUGGAGAUCUACGGUGAUUACAUGGGGGACCAAAUCUGCAAAAUCCCCAUUCUUCAUAAUGGUCCUGACGACUACCGUAUAUGGUUCCAAAGUCCUCUGGGGUCUUACUCCACUAAAUCCGCGUAUUCCUGGAUGACUCUUAAACACGUGGGCUUUGGUCCCCAUCGGUUCUUUUGGAGGCUUGUCUGGAAGUUACAUACCUUACCAAUGAUUAAGAUUUUUUGCUGCCGUAUUGGCCAUGACAUUCUGCCUACGUAUGAAAAUAUCUCUAAAAUCAGGAGGGAGUUCAAUUGUUUAUGCCCGCGAUGUGGGAGCAAGGAGGAGACCCUCAUACGUGCGUUGAAAGAUUGUCCGAGAGCUAGGGCGAUCUUGAUUCACGGGGGUUUUGAUAAUGCUCUUUUGGAUGGAAGUUACUGGAGGUGCAUGGACUGGAUCGAAGAUGUGGCCCGUUCGUUGGACAAGAAGGCUCUUUCGGACUUUGUUACGGUGCUCUGGAAUAUCUGGAAUAGUAGGAACAAUAAAGUGUUCAGAAAUAUGGAGGAAGAUGCGAAGGCAAUUUGGGAUAGAGCUACUACGUUGAAUAGGGACUUUCAUAUCAUUAACUUUAUGGAGAGACCGAUGAUUCCUAAGCCUAUCGAAGAGAAAGGGUGGCAGAAACUUGGACCUGGGGUGGUUAAAAUUAAUUUUGAGGCUGCUACUAAUGGGAGCAGAAUGAGCUUUGGGAUUGUGGCCAUGGAUCAUGAUGGCUUUGUGCUUGGGGGGCGCGCGGGUGUUUUGGAGAGUAAUACUGGUGCUGAAUGGGCCGAGCUGCAGGCGUUGGCUGAUAGCUUGAGCUGGCGGGGGAGAAAAAUGGCUCAAUUUGGAGCUGGAAUCUGAUUGUGCGAAUCUGGUGAAUCGGCUAAAAAGGGCUCGCAUUGACUUUUCAACCUAUGGCUUCCUCAUUCGGCAGCUUCUAAAUUCUUUUGACCCGUGUAUUAUUUUUAACUUUGUUUGGACCCUGCGAUGUUGUAAUAAAGCGGCAGACCAACUUUGUAAAUGGGCCUAUAAAAACAAUUGUACUAAGGCUUUCGACAUGGACUAUCCGAUUGAGAUCCAUGAUGUAAUUUUGAAAGAUGCUAUUAAUUGAGUUUUUUUGACCUUCGGGUAUUUCCAUCAAAAAAAAAAGAAUGUCCCCUGGUAGCGCAUUGACCAAGUUUUUUUAGCUAUUUAGGGGGGUGAUAUUGAGCGAGCAGGGGUUGUCAAGGGCAUUGCCCACGCCCACGCAUGCCUGGACAUCGGUGCCCCUCCACCGCCGGUUAGGUUCCCAAUAGUGCUCCGGUGAUCCAUCCCGGUGGUGCUCCGGUGAACCGUCCUGGCAAUGCUCUAGCGAGCCAUUCCGGUAGCAUAGGCCCUUGGUCGUACGAGAGGCUCGGGCACCAUCGGCACGUGGGUGCUAGAAUGUGCGGGAGCCUCGAACACCAUCGGCAACCUAGGCCCUUGGUCGUGCGAGAGCCUUGGGCACCAUCAGCACCUAAGUGCUUGGUUGUGUGGGAGCCUCGGACACCAUCGGCAAACUAGGCCCUUGGUCGUGCGGGAGCCUCGGGCACUAUCGGCAACCUAGGCCCUUGGUCAUGCAAGAGCCUCGGGCACCAUCGUGACUUGGGCACUCGGAUGUGCGGGAGCAUCAGACACCAUCGGCAACCUAGGCCCUUGGUCUUGCGAGAGCCUUGGGCACCAUCGGCACCUAGGCGCUCGAAUGUUGGGGAGCCUCGGAGACUAUCGGCAAACUAAGCCCUUGGUCAUGCGGGAGCUUCGGGUACCAUCGGCACAUCGGUGGUCAAUUCAUUUGCGUGUGGGGCCCGUCUGUCGUCUUUCUUAGGUUCUUUGGUUUAUUUUAUUAUUUUCACCAUCAGUUCUAUUUUCGUUAUUUUCUUGGGUGCUUUGACAUAGGUUGCGUGGCGUUCUGCAUAGAUUAUGCGUGGUUUUUAACGUUUUCUCGUGGGAUUUCACUGAUCGCCACCGUGGCCCACAUGGAGGUUUCUGCUUUAAGUUUUUGACUCUUAUAAUUUCUGUACGUUUCUUGGGAGUUGUUUUUUGCAUGGUUUUACGUUCUUUUUUUUCUGGGGGUGCAUCCUCUGUAUGGCAUUUUCUUGCAUGCAUGGUUCUGCUUGUUUCUUGGCCCCUGUUUGUUGAUUGGGUCCCCUGGUUCCUAUUUGAUAUAUUUUUUACACCCGUUUUAGUUUCUUUUAACUUUUAGUUUUUCUGGGUUAGGGGGUGCCUUUGCUUGCUGGGUUAAGGGGUGUUUUUUUCCUGGUUUCCUUUUCUUUUUCGUUUUUUAUUAGUCAGGGUGGGGGCUUUGUUGUUGGUGUUGUUCCGCGGUUGGUGGGGCGGGUUUCGUUUUUGUGCUGGGUUGCUUCUGGGUUUUUGCCUUUCUUUUCUUCUUGCAGUUCUUGUUUUGCGAAGACAGAGGUAUAUGUGUCCAAGCGGGUCCCUGGAGUUUCCUCACUCUCAAGGUAGCAGCUUGAUGGGUUGUAGCUUGCCCGAUGAAAUUUUUGUGCUGGAAUUGUCAUGGGGUAGGGAACCCUGCGAAAAUAAGGGAAUUAAAUAAACUUCUCGCUGCCAAUAAUCCUGAUAUUAUCUUCUUGAGUGAAACAAAAAUGUCUGCCAGUGAUUUCAGAAUGGUUCAAAAUAAGUUUAGGGUCCAGAAUGGAGUUGCUGUUAAGUUUGAGGGUCGAAGUGGGGGACUUGCGCUGCUGUGAAGGGAAGGGCUUGACGUAUCUAUCCGAAACUACUCCAAACAUCACAAAGAUUCGAUGGUAAAACUGGGGAAUAAUAAAACCAUUCGAGUUACGGGUUUCUACGGGCAUGCGAAUUCGAGCCUUAGAAGAAGCUCUUGGGAUAUUCUGCGGAGGGUUGGAGAAUCGGUUGGGGAGGAGUGGGUGGUUGGGGGAGAUUUUAAUGCUAUACUGAAUGAACUGAGAAAGAAGGAGGUCGAAGGUGAGUAAGGGCCCAGAUGAAUGAGUUCAAAGAAGUCAUGGAUGAGAUGGCUUUAGUUGAUAUAAAGCCUGAUAGUGGAUGCUUUACAUGGAUAAACAAUAGGAAUAAGGGGAGGCUGAUAAAAGAGAGACUUGACAGAUUACUCACCUCAGUGGCAGUGGUUGAAAACUUUCCGUUUAUUGCUUCUAAAGUGGUAAGACAAACUUAGUCCGAUCAUGACGCGAUUAUUUUAGACUUAUGGGGGCAGAAACCGAUAGAUUACCCAAAAGACAAGAGAUUGUGCUUCAGGUUUGAUGUUUGUUGGGUUGGUGACGAGGAAGCAAAAAAGGUUAUUGAAAGAGCUUGGACCAGGGAGGGUACAAACUAUAACGAUAAGACGGAUAGAGUUAGGUCGUCCAUUGGUCCCUGGCAAUGUAAGAAAUAUGGAAAAAUGAAGAGCGAAGUGUGGAAAUUGGAGAAACAGAUUGAGCUGAUCAUUGAUUCUGCCAACAGAGAGGAUAGCGCGAAAACGCUAAAGGAAGCUCGCAGAAGGUUUAAUUUUCUAUACGCUAGGGAAGAGAGCUACUGGGCUCAAAGGUCUAGGUCAAGAUGGCUUAGGGAGGGAGAUCGUAACACUAAGUACUUCCAUGCUAAAGCUACUGGUCGUUUAAAGAAGAAUAACAUUGUGAAGAUUAAAGAUGCGGCAGGAAAUUGGGUGACAAAUAGUAAUGACAUAUGUAAGGUUGCUAAAGAUCAUUUUGUGAGCUUGUUUCAGUCAAAUGGUCAAAAUGCUAAUAUCCAAGAGAUAGGCCAUAUAAAGUAGUGCGUUACGAGGGAAACAAAUGAAAGGUUCAAUAUGAUAUAUAGAGUGGAAGAGGUUCUUCAGGCUAUCAAGCAAAUUGACCCAAAUAAAGCCCCUGGUAUUGAUGGUCUAUCAGGAAAUUUUUUCAAGCACCAUUGGGAGAUAGUGGGAAAGGACUCUAUUAGAUUUUGCUUGGAUAUUCUAAAAGGGAAAAAGGAUAUCUCUAGCCUUAAUGAUACGAUGAUCAUUUCAAUCCCUAAGAUUAGAGAUCCAUGUGAGCUUACUAACUAUCGCCCUAUCAGCUUGUGCAGGUUUGCCUACAAGAUCAUCUCAAAGGUGUAUGCAAACAGGCUAAAAGCUGUCCUACCAAAUUGCAUCAGCCAAAAUCAAAGCGCAUUUGUGCCGGGCAGGAUGAUACAUGAUAAUAUCCUUAUAGAGCAUGAGCUUCUCCAUUACCUUCAAAGUUCUAAAAAUGGUCCCAAUAAAGGGUUGGUGGUCAAGCUCGACAUGAGCAAAGCUUAUGACCGUGUGGAGUGGAACUUCAUUGAAACAGUUAUGAAGAAAAUGGGAUUUGAUGGAAAGUGGAUUGCAAAAAUAAUGGAAUGUGUUCACUCGGUUAAAUAUACGGUUAAAUGAAAUAAUGAUUUAUCUAAAUUUUUCAUCCCCGAGAGGGGUCUCCGUCAAGGGGACCCCCUAUCUCCUUAUUUGUUUUUAUUUUGUAUGGAAGCUUUUUCGAGAAUGCUUCUCCAUGCUCAGGAGAAUAAUUUGUUAAGGGGUAUCCGAGAAAGUAGGAACGGUCCUAGAAUAAACCAUCUAUUUUUUGCUGAUGACGCUCUUUUAUUUAUCAGGAAUAAAAAGGGUGAUAUGGAGAGUCUAGUUAACAUGCUCAAUAUUUUCUCUUAUAAUUCAGGCCAAGAGAUUAAUUUUGAAAAGUCAAUGGUCCAGUUUAGCCCAAACACAUCACGUGAUCAGAGAACAAUCAUCAGUGGUCUCCUUGGCAUGAUGGUGGUGGAAAAUCUAAAUAACUACAUAGGCCUCCCUAUUCCAAUAGGUAAGAAGAAAUCUGCAGCUUUUAAUGAGAUAACUAAUAGAAUGUCUUGCAAGAUAAAUAGUUGGACAAAAAGAUUGCUCUCAUUUGGAGGAAAGGAAGUCUUCAUCAAAGCUGUGUGCUCCAAGCCAUUCCCACAUAUGCUAUGUCGAUUUUCUUGGCCCCCAAAGGCAUUAUUGAUGAUAUCCAGGCAAAGCUAAGCAGAGCUUGGUGGGUGGGAAAGGAGAAAGGAAGAUACUGGACUAUGAUCCCAUGGAAAACCUUAUGUAUACCGAAGGCUAUGGGAGGACUUGGAAUACGUGAUGUUCACCUUUUCAACUUGGCUCUCUUAGGGCGUCAAGUGUGGAGACUAAUAAACAACACAGACUCCCUAUGUUUCAAAGUUCUGUCUUCAAAAUACUUUCCUGAUGGCAACAUUUUUAACGCAAAAAAGGUUGACAAAGCAUCCUUCACCUGGUCAAGCAUUUCGAAAAUGGAGGAAGUGCUGAAAGAAGUAUUUGGAUGGCAGGUCGGAAAUGGUGAGAAGAUAAACAUUUGGGCCGAUAACUGGGGUAUGGAAGGCCUCAAUGGGGACGCUAUUAAAAGAGCCACCUUAAACCAAAAUGAAAAGAGGGUAAAUGACCUGUGGCUUGCGGAUAGCAGAACUUGGGACGCAAACAAAGUGAAGCAAGUUUAUGGAUGUGACUGGGGUGAAAAGAUCUGUAACAUUCCCAUUGGCGAUGAGGGACAAGUGGAUAGAAUGAUAUGGUUUCAUAACCCACAUGGAUGUUUUACUUCAAAGUUUGCCUAUUCCUGGCUGCUGUUGAAAGAAAUAGGAUAUAGCCCUCACAGGUUUUUUUGGAAAGCCAUAUGGAAGCUCGACACUUUACCGAAGAUCCGGGUUUUUACGUGGAGGGUGGGCAUGAGAUUCUCCUGACAAAUUGUAAGAUCGCUACUACCAGACAAGGUUUCGACAAGGGAUGCCCGAGAUGCAGAGCUUAAGCCGAAAUGCUGUUACAUGCGUUAAAAGAUUACCCAACCUCAAGAGCUGUUCUUUCAAAAGGUGGAUGGUCCACGAGCUUUAUUUCUAAGAAUUACGAUCAGUGCAUUGACUGGUUGGAAGAGAUGAUGCGUAUCCUCGAUAAGAGAGCUAUGGCUGAUCUGAUAACAAUUUUAUGGAACUACUGGAAUAACAGGAACAACCACAUCUUCAGGGGUAAAGAAGAGGAGGCUCAGCAGAUAUGGGAAAGAGCCAGCAAUCUGAAUAAGGAAUUUCGAAUAUGCAACAUGGUGAAUAAACCUUUACUUUCAAAUAACACUGGGGAGAAAAAGUGGAAAAUGCCACCAAAGGGCUUCAUUAAAAUAAACUUUGACGCUACAGUGGGCGAAAAUAGAAUCGGAUAUGGGACAAUUUUAAGGGAUGAAGAAGGCUUUGUCUUAGGAGGAGGUGGGGGUUUUAAAGAGCUUAGGUUGUCAGUGGAAGAGGCUGAGUGCAUGGCUUUUGAAGAAAGCAUUAACGUGGCGCGUAGCUUGAAUUUAAAAGAACAUGUUCUCUUCAAAACAGACAUUUAGGGCUGGUCAACAAAUUCAAUAAUUUAGCCCAUAGCUUCACCAUGAUAGGCGCACGGAUAAAGGCUUGUACAGAAUCCUUUAGUUUUUUCAAAUCGGCCAAUUUAAUUUGGACCGAACGAUCAUGUAAUACUGUAGCUCAUUUAAUUUGUAGAAAAAUGUGUAAUGAGGGAAAAAGAUAUUUGUUCGAUAUGGAUUAUCCUCCAGAAAUCCACAAUGAUGUAAUUCGUGAUGUUUCGUAAUAAAUUGUGUUGACCCUUGUGGUCGUUUUUGUUUCAAAAAAAAGAAUGUCGCCUGGUAGCGCAUUGACCAAGUUUUUUUAGCUCUUUAGGGGGGAGGUGAUAUUGAGUGAGCAGGGGUUGUCCAGGGUAAUGCCCACGCCCACCGCAUGCCCGGACGUCGGUGCCCCCACUGCCGGUUAAAUUCCUGGCGGUGCUCCAGCGAUCCAUCCCGGCGGUGCUCCGGCGAGCCAUUCUAGCAGCUUAGGCCCUUGGUCGUGGGGGAGCAUCGGGCACCAUCGACACCUUGGUGCCAGUGUCACGGGGCUAGAGUUUUCUCUUCUGAUCCAUGCGGCCUUAGGGGAUUCGUUCAUCCAAACUCGCGUAAGUCAGCCUGAACUCAAGUGAGGAUUCCUUAAGAACUUCUCCAAGGCACCAAAUUGAAGAGCGGAAGCGACUUAUGCCAAAAGAAGAACAACAAAGAACAACUGAAAGAACGCUCUCAAAGUGUUUGAGUAAAUGCCCUCUAUUCUCUUAUUCACAAAGAAUAAUGAAACAAUGAAUAGAGUGAGUACAACUGCGGGGGAGGCUCUCUAUUUAUAGUUGAGCUCCCACAAAACCGACGGUCAUGAUACAUUUACAUCGACGGACGAGAUUAGCCAUAUCCCUUUAUUUUAUGGAUUUACAAGAUAGGCCAUAUCAAAUCUAAUCUAAUCUUUACAAGAUAUGAUUCCCUCUAUCUUCUAAGAUUAGUUACCAUAUCAGCCUAAGUUGCCAUGUCUUCAUUAUCGGGCCAACUAGGCUUCAAUCUGACACGCUUCUCUAAUAGCUCUUUGAAUCAGGUUAGUUCUCGUGGGCCAAAUGAUCCCCAUCUGAGCAAUAGACCUCUAUUGGAUGCAUUUGGUGCGAUGGUCACGGGCAUUGAACUGUGGCCCGUGACAUUCUUCCCAACCCAUUCUCACAACAUCCUCGUUGUGACUUCUGAAUGGCACUGACUUGAUUCGCCUCAGUCUCGUCUCCACGCCUUAGCCUUUCCCUUCCUUCAAGACUUUUUCCUCGGCUUACAUUGUUUCUUAACUCGAACAAUCCUACUCGUUUGUACAUCUUGAUGACAAUAAGUUAUGUCACUCUCUUGUCCACUUUCUAACUUCGCUUGAACAGAAUCCUCGAGAUUCACCACCCUUGGCUUCACUUUCCCCACAGUCUCUCGGCCUCUUUGCUCAAGAACUUCGAAAGGGCCCCUACGUUCUUACCAAGUUAAAAAGUUAGAAUGCAAAAUACUAUCACAGUGUUCGGAAUGUACCUUCGCAUCUACUCUGGUCAACUGUCCCACAUGUAUCACUUCCUUUCCUUGAAGUUCGAUGCACCACCCACCUCUCCCAUAGGUAAAAGCCUAGUCGAUGACUCGGCCAACUCCGACGCUUCACUCAACUUAAACCUUAUUGGUCCCAGCUUCACUAUUUUCAUCGCAACUCUUUCCUCUAAGUCCGAUGACAAACUCACCUCUUCCUUGGGUGGAAUUCCCUCUGAUGACUCACCAAGCUCAGACGUUGCCUUUCUUUUGACUCGGGCUUGCUUUGGACAAUUCCGCAACUCAUGUGGACCAUGGCACAAGAAGCACUUUACUCGCUUCUUUUUGCUCCUCUUUGCCUUCUUGGCUUUGGCUUUUCCCUUACUCGAACCAAGCUUCUUUGGCUCCUUGUCUGGCUACAUCGUUCCCCUCGAUGACAGACUUUCUCGAACACUUUCGCAACCUAUACGGACCAUGACACAAGAAGCACUCCACUGGCUUCUUCUCACUUUCGGCCUGCUUAGCUUCGACACCCCUUGCACUUGCACUCGAACCAAGUACUAAGGCCUUACCCACCGGCUUCUCCUUAAGCGCGGAUUUCCUCGGACAUUUCUUAAACAUGUUUAGAACAUAGCAAAGAAAGCAUUUUAGCUUGUCCUUUUUCCUCUUGGGUUUCUUCUUCCCAACUCAUGGUUUCCCAUUACCACCAUUGUCGCCAUUGCCAAUGCCAUCAACAAUAUCUUCCUUGUGAUCCAUUUCACAUACAUCCCUUUCCUCGGACUUGGAAGUCCCAAGCUUGUCUUUCCCUAGACCCAGCUUGACCACGGACUCAACUAUCGUCAAGGCUUUCGACAGCUUUUGGACACCUCUUUGUUCCACCUCCUUUCGACCCACGGCUUCAAUCCAUUCUGAAAAAUAAGCAAUGCUUCUCUUUCGGUCACCUCUGAAACUUGGAGCAUAAGUUCCUUGAACUCUUGAACAUACUCCCCCACUGUGCCCCGUUGCGUUACCCCUUGCAACUUUUCCCAAGCUUCUUCCUUGGCAAAUUCUAGGUAAAACUGUCCCUUCAAUUCGCAUUGGAACUCUUGCCACGUCCCAAUCUCACCUUGCCUUUUAUUUGUGGACCUGCCUCGCCACCAUAAAAGCGUAAUGUCAGUACGAAACAUUGAAGCAGUGUUUACCUUAACUGCACCGUCCAUGAUGCCUUUGGCACGGAAGUAGUUUUCCAUCCUCCACAAGAAAUUAUCCACAUCGCAUGCAGACCUUGUCCCCACAAGCUCUUUCGGCUUCGGGACAUCCUCAUUAUUGAGUGCUGCAUUUGCCACUCCCUUCCCCAUGGCUACUCGACACAAGGCCAGCUCUCCCACGAGCUUGUCUAUUCUUGUACUCAAAGCCCUCGUCGUGGCCAUUGUUUCCUCCUUCAAAGCCAUCAUCAUGGCCUCGAGAGCAUCGUUCCUCUCCGUCAGCUUCUUCUUUUGGUAAUCUAGCAACUUUUGCACGCUAUCCCUUUGGAAAGUGAGACACAUGGUCAAACAAUCCCUGGACUGCUCCCUCAAGUCUUCAACACUUUCUCCAAGUGCAAUGUCUCACUCUUUUGCAUCCUCCAUGGACUUCUCAAGUUUACCCACGCGUUCCUCAACAGCCGACAACAUCUCCCUCAAAGACUUUCUCGCCCACCUUUGUUCGAACUCUUCUCUUGACAUCCUAAUGGUGCCUUUGAACUAACAACUCAGAUAUUACUUGGUUCAAACCUUGCUCGGAUACCACUGGUCACGGAGCUAGAGUUUUCUCUUGCGAUCCGUGCGGCCUGAGGCCAUCCGUUCGCCCAAAAUCGUCUAAGUCAGCCUUAACUCAAGUGAGGAUUCCUUAAGAACUCCUCCAAGGUACCAAAUUAAAGAGCGAGAGUGACUUAUGCCAAAAGAAGAACAACAAAGAAAAACAGAAAGAACGCUCACAAAGUGUUUGAGUAAAUGCUCUCUAUUCUCUUAUUCACAAAGAAUAAUGAAACAAUGAAUGGACUGAGUACAACUGAGGGGGAGGCUCUCUAUUUAUAGUUGAGCUCCCCCAAAACUGACGGUCAAGAUACAUUUACAUCGACGGACGAGAUUAGCCAUAUCCCUUUAUUUUAGGGAUUUACAAGAUAUGCCAUAUCAAAAUCUAAUCUAAUCUUUACAAGAUAUGAUUCCUUCUAUCUUCUAAGAUUAGUUACCAUAUCAGGCUAAGUUUCUAUGUCUUUAUUACCGGGCCAACCAGAAUUCAAUCUGACUGGCUUCUCUAAUAGCUCCUUGAAUCGGGCCAGUUCUCUUGGGCCAAAUGAUCCCUAUCUGAGCAAUAAACCUCUAUUGGAUGCAUUUGGCGCGAUGGUCACGGGCUUUGAACUGCGGCCCUUGACACUAGGAUGUGUGGAAGCCUCAAACACCAUCGGUAACCUAGGUCCUUGGUCGUGUGAGAGCCUUGGGCACCAUCGGCACCUAGGUGCUUGGAUGUGCGGAAGCCUCAGACACCAUCGGCAACGAGGCCCUUGGUCGUGCGGUAGCCUUGGGCACCAUCGGCAACCUAGGCCCUUGGUCGUGCGGGAGCCUCGGGCACCAUCAAGACCUGGGAGCUCUGAUGUGCGGGAGCAUCGGACACCAUCGGCAACCUAAGCCCUUGGUCGUGCAAGAGCCUCGGACACCAUCGGCAACCUAAGCCCUUGGUCGUGCAAGAGCCUCGGACACCAUCGGCACCUAGGCGCUCGGAUGUGCGGGAGCCUCGGAGACCAUCGGUAAACUAAGCCCUUGGUUAUAUGGGAGCCUCGGCCACCAUCGGCACCUCGGUGCAUGGAUGUAUGGAAGCCUUGGGCACCAUCAACAACUUAGGACCUUGUUCGUGCGGGAGCCUCGAGCACCAUCGACACCUCGGUGCUUGGAUGUGCAGUAACCUCAGACACCAUCAGCAACCUAGGCCUUUGGUCGUACGAGAGCCUCGAGCACCAUCGACACCUAGGCGCUCGGAUGUGUGGGAGCCUCAGACACCAUCGACAACUUGGUGCUUGUAUAUGCGGGAGCCUCGAGCACCACCGGCACCUUGGUGGCUCGGAUGUCCGGGAGCCUCAGACACCAUCAGCAACCUUGGUGCUUAUGUGCAGAAGCCUCAGACACCAUCAGCAAACUAGGCCCUUGGUUGUACGGGGGUCUCGGGCACCAUCGGUAUCCUAGGCCCUUGGUUGUGCGAGAGCCUCGGGCACCAUCGGCACCUGGGUGCUCGGAUGUGCGGGAACCUCGAACACCAUCGGGACCUUGGUGCCUGGGAUGUGUGGGCUAAAGAAAAGUGUCCCCAUUUCAGACAGACGAAUGUUUUCUGGUAGCACAUUGACGUUAUUUUUUAGCUCUUUAAGGGGUAAAGAUCUGUUGCCCCCCGAUGUGCCCCUCCUCCGAGCUGAGGUGGGCUGCGUCUAGCCCCCCAUGGGGGACGGGUCGUCCCGCAAUGACUCAUCAACGGUGGUGAGUUUGUCACCGACAGUAGUGGUCGGGGUGACAAUUUUUUGGCCGGUCAAGCUCGUGCCCAUAGAAAUGUAGCCAACGACCCCUUGCCCGCAUUCGAAGCUGUCCGCGACCCCAGUACUAAGUCCUUUUGACAGAAACGGCUCACUGGGGGUGUAAGUUGAGUUUGUGGGCUCGGUCUUGGCUCGACCAAGUCCCAGUGGGAUUUUUCCCCUCAUAGCUCUCGUGCCAAGCGGUUGUGGUGCGCCCUCGUUCAUUUUUCCUUCCGCUCCCUUACCAUUUGAUUGGUUGGGUGGGCUAUUGGCCGAUAUGCGUGGGCGAUACUACUAGUACGCAAUGGGCAUAUCAGUGGUGUUUUGGUUGUGUGUAUUGGCAGGCUCCAUGCUACUCACAUCAAACUGUCGAGCCACACUCCUCAUUAACUCCCCUUAUUGUAACUGAACUCAAGGGGAAGGAUCAGGAUCCUGUGUUGCGUACCUAAGCCAGAUGGAAUUAUGGAUGUGUUGCCAUCCCUUUUCCAUCUCAUGCCCUUCGGGGAGCGUGGUGAACCUCAAUCUGUUGGAUCGCCAGCACCUCUAUGGCGCAGCAAAAAAAUAAAAAUCCGGCGAUCCUAACCAGGGAUCCAUGUGUGAGGAACGAAUCGGGGUGAAAGAGGUUGCGAAAUUACCUAAUGUUUAUUCAGAGUAGACAGCAACACCUCAACAACGAGUAGUCUGAUCUGCUGUCGAACCAAACCGAAAUCUAUCGUGAUUCCGGCCUCUACGUAAUCCACCCAGUUGACUACGAACGGAAGGAAUCCCCAAAACAGUUUUGAGAGUUAUUUUUCUUUGAAGGCUGCUAGACUCAAACAAAGAAAAACGGGAUUAUAUAUAUCCUUUUGUUUUAGGGUUUUUUUAAGAAUUAAAUAAAUAUAAUAAUAUUCUAAUCCGAAAAUUAUAAUUACAUUAAUUAUAAUAUAAGUUCGGUAAAACAUAUAUUUAUUUGAAUUCUUAUGCUAACCAAAUUCAUAUCCUCACUAUACGUACAACAACCUUGUACAUAAUGUGUUGGAAAUUUGAUUACCGAAUUAAAUUAAUUCUAUAAUUAAUUUAAUUCAAACGACCCCAAAAACAAUACCAACUAUGGUUUAUUCCGUUCAUUUCAACUAUAGGGUGUGACCCUGUAGGUUCUUGUAACGUUAGCAGUAACACUAGAACGAUUCUAAUGCUACGAACAAUGAGUGGCAUCUAACAAUGCAUCAUUGCUACCUAAGUCACAAGAGAUCAUGAUUCGACAUAACCUUUUUAUGAUUAACCUUUUAUGCAAUAAUCCUUAAGUCCUUUAUCUCUGGAUUGGACACAAGUCAUGGAAUAGUCACACUUGCAUUGUCCAUUCCAUGUUCCUUGAUAUCUUAAGCAGACUACGAUAUACAGAUAAGUAUGACAUCUAAUAUCAACUUAUUUGAGCAUGGCCAUGCAUUUCUAGUCUCACUUAAUCAAGUGGCCUAAGAUAUUACUCCCAUUAUGUAGGAGGGACUUAUCCUAUAUCGACCAACCAUAUCCCUCUACAUAGAUUGUGGUAUAUCCAACAUCAGUCUUUAUAGAACAACCAGUUACGGUGUACGUUUGACUGUAUCAAAAUAUACAACUCACGAUGUUGGGAUUAUGAUGAUCUCAAGUCUGAGGAUCAUAUAAAUAUUAAUCAUUAUGAGUAAUGUCGUGACAAUUACAUAAUAAUCCAAGAAACAUACUCAUAACGGGCCAGUCCAAUAUGUUGUUCUCUAACACACAUAUUCAUGUAAUGAUUCUGACAUUCCAUAUCAAUGACAAAUCUUUAUCAUCAAUCAACUACACGUUAGUCUUAAUGCAUUAUCGUUGUCCUAUCCAACAAUAAUUCUUGAGUAAGGAACUUUUAAGAAUAAUCAUAUUAUUCUCAGGACAUUAUUAUAAAAUAGUUUAUUUAUAUACACAGAAAAGAAACUGAAAUAAUAAUGGUAACGCCUUAUAUUAAUAAACAUGAUAAAUCAAGUAUGUUAUUACAACCGUCUCAUGAUUGAUCUUUGGGCAUACUCUAACAAUCUCCCACUAGCACUAAGACCAAUCACUUAUAUAUCUAAUACCAAGUGACUUAGUGUGACGAUCAUGCUUCUGCUGUGUCAGAGGCUUGGUCAAGGGAUCAACAAUGUUAUCAUCUGUAGGUACUCUGUAUAUCUCUACAUCCCCUCGAUCGAUAAUCUCUCGAAUAAGAUGGUAGCGCCUAAGUAUAUGUUUGGAUCGCUGGUGAGAUCUAGGUUCUUUAGCUUGUGCAAUGGCUCCAUUAUUAUCACAUCGGAGUUCUAUAGCAUCUGAUAUGCUAGGCACAACCCCUAGUUCAGUAAUGAACUUUUUGAUCCAAACCGCUUCUUUUGCUGCCUCACUGGCUGCAAUAUACUCAGCCUCUGUUGUAGAAUCGGCUACUGUACUUUGCUUUGAGCUCUUCCAGCUCACAGCACCACCAUUAAGGCAAAACACAAAACCUGAUUGUGAUCGAGAAUCGUCCAUAUCGGUUUGGAAGCUAGCAUCAGUGUAAUCUUUUACACUUAACUCUUCCUCACCUCCAUAUAGUAGGAAAACAUUCUUAGUUCUUCUCCAGUACUUAAGGAUAUUCUUGACUGUGGUCCAGUGACCUUCACCGGGAUCUACUUGGUAUCUGCUCGUCAUGCUUAAGGCAUAUGAGACAUCUGGACGGGUACAUAACAUGGCAUACAUGAUAGAUCCAAUAGCUGAAGCAUAUGGAAUUUUACUCAUUCGUUCUCUCUCCUGUGGAGUUGAAGGACACAUUUCCUUCGAGAGUGAAAUACCAUGUCCCAUAGGUAGGAAUCCUCUCUUAGAUUCUUCCAUACUGAACCUUUUCAGUACUUUGUCUAUGUAUGUACUUUGGCUUAGACCUAGUAGUCGUCUUGAUCUAUCUCUAUAGAUCUUUACUCCUAAGAUGUAAGUUGCUUCGCCCAAGUCCUUCAUAGAAAAACAAUUUCCUAACCAAGUCUUAAUAGACUGCAAGGUAGGUAUGUCAUUUCCUAUGAUAAGUAUGUCAUCCACAUACAGUACCAACAAUGUUAUAGUGCUCCCACUAACUUUCUUGUAAACACAUGGCUCAUCUUCAUUUUUGAUAAAACCAAACUCUUUGAUUGCAUCAUUAAAACGAAGAUUCCAACUUCGAGAAGCUUGCUUUAAUCCAUAAAUGGAUCUUUGUAGCUUACAUAUCUUUCCAACAUCCUUUGGAUUGACANNNNNNNNNNNNNNNNNNNNNNNNNNNNNNNNNNNNNNNNNNNNNNNNNNNNNNNNNNNNNNNNNNNNNNNNNNNNNNNNNNNNNNNNNNNNNNNNNNNNNNNNNNNNNNNNNNNNNNNNNNNNNNNNNNNNNNNNNNNNNNNNNNNNNNNNNNNNNNNNNNNNNNNNNNNNNNNNNNNNNNAAAACCUUUAGCGACUAAUCGCCCCUUGUAUGUUUGUACAUUACCAUCCAUGUCGGUUUUCUUUUUAAAAACCCACUUGCACCCUAUGGGCUUAACCCCUUCGAGUGGGUCAACCAAAAUUCAUACUUGGUUUUCAUACAUGGAAUCCAUCUCAGAUCUCAUGGCUUCAAGCCAUUUCUCAGAGUCUGGGCUCGUCAUCGCUUCUUGAUAAGUCCUAGGCUCAUCUUGAUCUAUCAGUAGAACGUCACCAUACGUUGUAACGAGAAAUCCAUAUCUCUCAGGUGCUUGGCGUUCCCUUAAAGAUCUACGCAGUGGUUGUGUUUCUACAGCAAUUACUUGUUCCUCAACCCCUUGUGGAACUUGCUGUUGUUCUAUCUCUGGUUCAGUGGUAUUUUGCGAUUCUUGAACUUCAUCAAGUUCAAUCUUUUUCCCACUUCCUUUUCUAGAAACAAAUUCUCUCUCCAGGAAGACACCAGUCCGAGCAACAAGUAUUUUGUUCUCAGUGGGAUUAAAGAAAUAAUAUCCUUUGGUUUCUUUUGGAACCCUACAAAAAUACAUUUUUCAGAUUUGGGUUCAAGCUUAGUAGACGUCUGACGUUUAACAUAAGCUUCGCAACCCCAAAUUUUCAUAAAAGACAUACUGGGACGUUUCCCAAUCCAUAUCUCAUAUGGUGUCUUUUAAACCGAUUUAGAUGGAACACGAUUUAGUGUGAAAGUAGUUGUCUCAAGUGCAUGUCCCCAAAAGGAAGUCGGAUCGCCAGCACCUCUAUGGCGCAGCAAAAAAAUAAAAAUCCGGCGAUCCUAACCAGGGAUCCAUGUGUGAGGAACGAAUCGGGGUGAAAGAGGUUGCGAAAUUACCUAAUGUUUAUUCAGAGUAGACAGCAACACCUCAACAACGAGUAGUCUGAUCUGCUGUCGAACCAAACCGAAAUCUAUCGUGAUUCCGGCCUCUACGUAAUCCACCCAGUUGACUACGAACGGAAGGAAUCCCCAAAAUAGUUUUGAGAGUUAUUUUUCUUUGAAGGCUGCUAGACUCAAACAAAGAAAAACGGGAUUAUAUAUAUCCUUUUGUUUUAGGGUUUUUUUUAAGAAUUAAAUAAAUAUAAUAAUAUUCUAAUCCGAAAAUUAUAAUUACAUUAAUUAUAAUAUAAGUUCGGUAAACCAUAUAUUUAUUUGAAUUCUUAUGCUAACCAAAUUCAUGUCCUCACUAUACGUACAACAACCUUGUACAUAAUGUGUUGGAAAUUUGAUUACCGAAAUAAAUUAAUUCUAUAAUUAAUUUAAUUCAAGCGACCCCAAAAACAAUACCAACUAUGGUUUAUUCCGUUCAUUUCAACUAUAGGGUGUGACCCUGUAGGUUCUUGUAACGUUAGCAGUAACACUAGAACGAUUCUAAUGCUACGAACAAUGAGUGGCAUCUAGCAAUGCAUCAUUGCUACCUAAGUCACAAGAGAUCAUGAUUCGACAUAACCUUUUUAUGAUUAACCUUUUAUGCAAUAAUCCUUAAGUCAUUUAUCUCUGGAUUGGACACAAGUCAUGGAAUAGUCACACUUGCAUUGUCCAUUCCAUGUUCCUUGAUAUCUUAAGCAGACUACGAUAUACAAAUAAAUAUGACAUCUAAUAUCAACUUAUUUGAGCAUGGCCAUGCAUUUCUAGUCUCACUUAAUCAAGUGGCCUAAGAUAUUACUCCCAUUAUGUAGGAGGGACUUAUCCUAUAUCAACCAACCAUACCCCUCUACAUAGAUUGUGGUAUAUCCAACAUCAGUCUUUAUAGAACAACCAGUUACGGUGUACGUUUGACUGUAUCAAAAUAUACAACUCACGACGUUGGGAUUAUGAUGAUCUCAAGUCUGAGGAUCAUAUAAAUAUUAAUCAUUAUGAGUAAUGCCGUGACAAUUACAUAAUAAUCCAAGAAACAUACUCAUAACAGGUCAGUCCAAUAUGUUGUUCUCUAACACACAUAUUCAUGUAAUGAUUCUGACAUUCCAUAUCAAUGAUAACUCUUUAUCAUCAAUCAACUACACGUUAGUCUUAAUGCAUUAUCGUUGUCCUAUCCAACAAUAAUACUUGACUAAGGAACUUUUAAGAAUAAUCAUAUUAUUCUCAGGACAUUAUUAUAAAACAGUUUAUUUAUAUACACAGAAAAGAAACUGAAAUAAUAAUGGUAACGCCUUAUAUUAAUAAACAUGAUAAAUCAAGUAUGUUAUUACAACCAUCUCACGAUUGAUCUUUGGGCAUACUCUAACACAAUCGCGCCUUGUGUCCCGAGUGCGCCCCCUUAUAUCGGCGUGGCCUCGUCGGUGCACUGGUCCUCGAUCGUGCUUUCAGAUGCGGGAAAUAUUUUUGAGAGUAGGGUUCAGGCCCUUAUCUCUCGACGCCUAUGCAUUUUGUCUUUUGACACGGACGAUGCUCGUGCUCUGUUAUUUCCUCUUCGUUGCUCACGCGGCAUGUUGAGGGCCAUGCAGUGCCGACGUCGCGGAGGAAUGCUACUUGCUUGCUCCUUCCAGUAGUCAUAUGCUUGUCUCAAAGAUUAAGCCAUGCAUGUGUAAGUAAGAACAAAUUCAGACUGUGAUACUGCGAAUGUCUCAUUAAAUCAGUUAUAGUUUUUUUGAUGGUAUUUGCUACUCGGAUAAUCGUAGUAAUUCUAGAGCUAAUACGUGCAACAAACCCCGACUUCUGGAAGGGAUAUAUUUAUUAGAUAAAAGGUGGACGCGGGCUUUGCCCAUUGCUCUGAUAAUUCAUGAUAACUCGACGGAUCGCACGGCCUUUGUUCCUGCAACGCAUCAUUCAAAUUUCUGCCCUAUCAACUUUCGAUGGUAGGAUAGUGGCCUACUAUAGCGGUGACGAGUGACGGAGAAUUGGGGUUCGAUUUCGGAGAGGGAGCCUGAGAAACGGCUACCAUAUCCAAGGCAGCAGGCGCGCAAAUUACCCAAUCUUGACACGGGGAGGUAGUGACAAUAAAUAACAAUACCAGGCUCUAUGAGUCUGGUAAUUGGAAUGAGUACAACCUAAAUCCCUUAACGAGGAUCCAUUGAAGGGCAAGUCUGGUGCCAGCAGCCGCGGUAAAUCCAGCUCCAAUAGCAUAUAUUUAAGUUGUUGCAGUUAAAAAGCUCGUAGUUGGACUUAGGGGUGGGUCAGCUGGUCCGCCUCACGGUGACCACCAGUCUGCUCGUCCCUUCUAUCGGCGAUGCGCUCCUGGCCUUAAUUGGCCAGGCCUUUUCUCUGGCGCUGUUACUUUGAAGAAAUUAGAAUGCUGAAAGCAGACCUACGCUUGUAUACAUUAGCAUGGGAUAACAUCAUAGGAUUUCGAUCCUAUUGUGUUGGCCUUCGGGAUUGGAGUAAUGAUUAAUAGGGACAGUCGGGGGCAUUCGUAUUUCAUAGUCAGAGGUGAAAUUCUUGGAUUUAUGAAAGACGAACAAUUGCAAAAGCAUUUUCCAAGGAUGUUUUCAUUAAUCAAGAACGAAAGUUGGGGGCUCAAAGACGAUCAGAUACCGUCCUAGUCUCAACCAUAAACGAUGCCGACCAAGGAUCGGCGGAUGUUGCUUUUAGGACUCCACUGACACCUUAUGAGAAAUCAAAGUCUUUGGGUUCCAGGGGGAGUAGGGUCGCAAGACUGAAACUUAAAGGAAUUGACGGAAGGGCACCACCAGGAGUGGAGCCUGCGGCUUAAUUUGACUCAACACGGGGAAACUUACCAGGUCCAGACAUAGUGAGGAUUGACAGAUUGAGAGCUCUUUCUUGAAUUUAUGGGUGGUGAUGCAUGGCCAUUCUUAGUUGGUAGAGCGAUUUUUCUGGUUAAUUCCAUUAACAAAAGAGACCUCAGCCUACUAACUAGCUACAUGGAGGCGAUCCUCCCUGGCUAGGUUCUUAGAGGGACUAUGGCCUUUUAGGAUAAGGAAGUUUGGGGCAAUAAUAGGUCUGUGAUGCCCUUAGAUGUUCUAGGUCGCAGGCGCGCUACACUGAUGUAUUCAAUGAGUCUAUGGCCAUGGCCGACAGGCCCGGGUAAUCUUUGAAAUUUCAUCGUGAUGGGGAUAGAUCAUUGCAAUUGUUGGUCUUCAACGAGGAAUUCCUAGUAAGCGCGAGUCAUCAGCUCACGAUAACUACGUCCCUGCCCUUUGUACACACCACCCGUCCCUCCUACAGAUUGAAUGGUCUGGUAAAGUGUUCGUAUCUCGGCGACGUGGGUGAUUCACUGCCUGCGACGUUGCGAGAAGUCCACUGAACCUUAUCAUUUAGAGGAAGGAGAAGUCGUAACAAGGUUUCCAUAGGUGAACUUGUAGAAGGAUCAUUGCCAAAACUUGCCCAGUAGAACGACCCGUGAACACGUUGCAAACAACACAGGAGGUCGUGCGGGUGCAUCCUCUUCGAAUCAAAACGAACAAACACGCGGCACGAAU